rnacentral:lncRNA from 1 species
UGAAACUCUGGCUUCACCCUACAUGUCCAGCAUCUGCCUGGAAUGUCACCGUCACACUUGUUCUCAGCCUCCAGAUGAGUGUCACCUUGGCCACCCUUGGAUGCCCCUUUGAAGUGCUCCUUCCACUGUUGUCUUGAGGGGUUUUCUACCUUCCUAAGAGAUGAAGGUGGGAGCAUCGAUGUCAAAGAAUUUCUCUAGGACCACCGUAGAUAAUAGUAAAGCUACAAUUAGGAGGAUCAAGAGUUCAUAAAACUGGGCUGGGGAGAAGCUUAGCUCAGAACCCGAUCACCUUUCAAGCAGGGGACACAGUUUGGUCCCUAGUGCUCACAUUAAAACAAAACUAGUAUGGUGGCCUACACCUGGAAUCUCAGCCUGGGACACAGGUGGAUCCCUGGGGUCAACUGCUCAGCCAGCCUAGCCUAAAGAGCGAGUUCCAAUGAAGAUACCUGGUCUCAAAAAACUUGUUUGGCUCCAGAGAAAUAAUGGCCAAGGUUCAUUUCUGGCCUCCACAUACGUGUAUGUUUGCCAACACACACACCUCAAAAGCCUGAAGGGGACUUUCAGAUGUACCCAGGAGAAUCAUGACAUUUUGUUCUCCCAAAUCAUUGCAGCUUCUUCAGGCCUGGCUUUAUUUAGGGGAGAGUUGUAUGCUAUUUCAAAAUGGAUGUAUAAGUUCCCUACCCUGCCUACCUUGUCUAAGAGGUUCUCCACAAUAGGCCACAGAAGAAUUUCAAAUUAUCAGGGAUCAG